ACAGCCGAGUUUCUGUCUCUGUGUCCCAGCGGGAGAGGAUACGUUACAACCGGACCAGGAGCCUUCAGCUACAGAGAUGUGGACGAGUGUAAACGUUUCCAUCCGGAGGUGUGUAAGAACGGAGUGUGUGUCAACAACAUCCCCGGAUACAACUGCUACUGCACCAGCGGAUACGUGUACGACAGCACGCUGCUGGAGUGUGUGGAUCACGAUGAGUGUGAGGAGGAGAGUUGUGUCGGAGGCAUCUGCGUCAACACGGUGGGCUCGUUUUACUGCAGCUGUCCUCAUCCUCUGGUGCUCGGCAACACGCAGCGCAACUGCGUCAACUCCUCCAGCCCUG